GGGGGGGGGGGGGGGGGGGGGGGGGGGGGGGGGGGCGAGCGGGCGGGCGAGGGGCUGGCGGCGCGGGGGGUGGCGGCGGACGGGUGAGUCACGCGUGGGUCACCUCCCUAUAAGACUGGGAUACCUUCGGGACGCCGGAGCUACUACCGGAUAAUAUUUUGACCCGCAUGGUUCAGAAGUGACAGACGGUCUUUCUGUCACUUCUCUAUGCAUCCGCGCUGCAUUAGCUAGUUGGUCAGGUAACGGCGUACCAAGGCAACGAUGCAGAGCCGACCUGAGAGGGUGAUCGGCCACACUGGAACUGAGACACGGUCCAGACUCCUACGGGAGGCAGCAGUAGGGAAUCUUCCGCAAAGGGCGAAAGCCUGACGGAGCAACGCCGCGUGAGUGAUGAAGGUCUUCGGAUCGUAAAACUCUGUUAUUAGGGAAGAACAUAUGUGUAAGUAACUGUGCACAUCUUGACGGUACCUAAUCAGAAAGCCACGGCUAACUACGUG
rnacentral:rRNA from 1 species